AGCGAACGCUGGCGGAAUGCUUAACACAUGCAAGUCGCGCGGGCAGCAAUGUCAGUGGCGGACGGGUGAGUAAUGCGUAGGAAUGUGUCCUGGGAUGGGGGAUAACGUCGGGAAACUGGCGCUAAUACCGCAUAUGGCCUGAGGGUCAAAGCCGUGAGGCGUCUUAGGAGCAGCCUGCGUCCGAUUAGCUAGUUGGUGGGGUAAAGGCUUACCAAGGCGACGAUCGGUAGCUGGUUUGAGAGGAUGAUCAGCCACACUGGAACUGAGACACGGUCCAGACUCCUACGGGAGGCAGCAGUGGGGAAUAUUGGACAAUGGGCGAAAGCCUGAUCCAGCAAUUCCGCGUGGGUGAAGAAGGUCUUCGGAUUGUAAAGCCCUUUCGACGGGGACGAUGAUGACGGUACCCGUAGAAGAAGCCCCGGCUAACUUCGUGCCAGCAGCCGCAGUAAGAC
rnacentral:rRNA from 1 species